CAGCCGCCGCGGUAAUUCGUAGGGGGCUAGCGUUGUUCGGAAUCACUGGGCGUAAAGGGAGUGUAGGCGGGGUUACAAGUCAGGAGUGUAAUCUACAGGCUUAACCUGUAGUUUGCUUCUGAUACUGUUUCUCUUGAGUAGUGGAGAGGGAGAUGGAAUUCCAGGUGUAGCGGUGGAAUGCGUAGAUAUCUGGAAGAACACCAGUAGCGAAGGCGGUCUCCUGGCCACAUACUGACGCUGAGGCUCGAAAGCGUGGGGAGCAAACAGGAUUAGAUACCCUGGUAGUCCACGCCGUAAACGAUGGACACUAGAUAUCGGGUGAUUCAGUUCAUUCGGUGUCGUAACUAACGCGAUAAGUGUCCCGCCUGGGGAGUACGCUCGCAAGGGUGAAACUCAAAGGAAUUGACGG
rnacentral:rRNA from 1 species